UCUUAGCAUGGGCACUCUGCUGCAGGUUCCAUCACUGGCACAAAAGUACUAGGUAAACCAUCCUUUCUCUGCUGUUCAUGUUGUUGGAGCCCUUAGGAUACAGAGAAAAACCCAAACACAUACGUAAGAAUAUCCACAACAGAAAAGAUCCCAAAUAUCCCAAACAAAAGGUUCCAGUAUGCAAGAUUAUCCUGGUUCAACAAAGGAAUAAGAGAUAAAAACAACAGUAAUGAAAACAGCAAACAUUUAUAGAGGCCAUGUGAGAACACAGCAAUGAGGCUGUAAUAUGCAAGCCAGGAAGAGGCGAUGAACCAGAAACCAACUCUGACAGGACUUUGAUCUUGGACUCUGAGCCUCUCGAACUGUGAAGAAAUGAAUUUCUGUUGUCUAAGCCACCCAUUCUGUGGAAUUUGUUAUGGCAGCCCCAGCAGACUAAUGCGACAUCCAAUAAAUCCUUGCUAACUGAGUGUUCAAAUGGAAUCCUAAACACUCAAUUUUAAACAUUCUA